rnacentral:rRNA from 1 species
GACGAACGCUGGCGGCGUGCUUAACACAUGCAAGUCGAGCGGAAAGGCCCUUCGGGGUCCUCGAGCGGCGAACGGGUGAGUAACACGUGAGUAACCUGCCCCAGACUUUGGGAUAACCCUCGGAAACGGGGGCUAAUACCGGAUACGACACAGCUUCGCAUGGGGUCUGUGUGGAAAGUUUUUCGGUUUGGGAUGGGCUCGCGGCCUAUCAGCUUGUUGGUGGGGUGAUGGCCUACCAAGGCGACGACGGGUAGCCGGCCUGAGAGGGCGACCGGCCACACUGGGACUGAGACACGGCCCAGACUCCUACGGGAGGCAGCAGUGGGGAAUAUUGCACAAUGGGCGGAAGCCUGAUGCAGCGACGCCGCGUGAGGGAUGACGGCCUUCGGGUUGUAAACCUCUUUCAGCAGGGACGAAGCGUAAGUGACGGUACCUGCAGAAGAAGCGCCGGCCAACUACGU